GGCAGAGCGAAUCGCUAAAAGACCGUCCCAGUUCGGAUUGCAGGCUGCAACCCGCCCUGCAUGAAGUUGGAAUCGCUAGUAAUCGCGGAUCAGCAUGCCGCGGUGAAUACGUUCCCGGGCCUUGUACACACCGCCCGUCACACCAUGAGAGUCGGGAACACCCGAAGUCCGUAGCCUGACCGCAAGGGGGGCGCGGCCGAAGGUGGGUUCGAUAAUUGGGGUGAAGUCGUAACAAGGUAGC
rnacentral:rRNA from 1 species